UCACUCCAGCUGCUCCCUUCUCCUCGCCAGCAUCGGGAGAAACGUGGUGAAGGCCCGGUUCCACCGGGCUGCUGGCAUCAGAGUGCACCAACCCCGGUUCUGGAGGCCAACAAGUUAGCAGUAAAGGCUUACAGCUAAAGAGAUCCUCCAUGUCCAGCCAGAAGAAGCGAGUCUGCUCAGACCUGAGAGACAACACGCCUACCUCAGAACCUGUGAGGAGCUGAGACGGGGGAGAGCCGGCCAAUCAAUGAGGGCUUGGAGCCCCUCCUCUUCCUCCGCCCUACAUCCUGGAUUCCAGACUCCAGACUGGGUUCAGGUCCUUGCUGGCUUGGUGAGGCCACCAAAGUGACCAUCUUUCCAGCUCUCGAGGCACGAGAAUUCUUCAUUUAGCAC